rnacentral:lncRNA from 1 species
AAAUGUUAAAUACAUAUAAUUUAUGCUUAUUAAAUAAAUAAAUAAAUCAGUCGAUAUCAAAGAAUUUUAUAAUCUAAUGCAAUUAUUAGAAACAAGAAAAAUUGUGGUAUACCGUUACAUCAAUCGGUUUAACGUAUGUUUCUUUUCUUUUUACUAUUUUCCUCUUCUUUUUCUUUUUCCCCCUAUUUUUUAAUAAAUUCUCAACACGCGACACUUUAUCACGCGUCGAAACCACAUAUAUUUCGAGUUGUAGCGUGACGCACAGAGAAACGCUUCUACACCCUUCGUGAUAAAUCACCAGAGGAAGAGAGACAGAAAGAGAGGCCACCGUCGUAAAUUCUCAAGUCUCUCCCGCCUUUUAAAUGUUGAAAAAAAUAAACCAAAGGUUUCCAAGAUUUUCGCUUAACUUCGGAUCAUUCGACGAUCUUAAAACUCUCGACACGAUAAGAUUCUAUUGAGAUAUUUUUAGUUUCGAAGAUGUGUAUCCAUGAUUUAACAAGAGUUACGUAUAAUAAUCUGAAUAAUCUGAAAACGUUAAGAGAAUGAGAAUCGAAUCAAGAAUGUUUUUUGAAUUCACUGUAAUCGAAACACAAAAUAAACGUUAUUUUAAUCGGAUACUUUCAUCGCAUAACAAAAGGAAAAUGACGAAAUUCAUCGUUGAAAAGAAGAAUGAAGGGAUUAAUCAUGAACCAACGAAUCAAGUAAACGGCAAAUCUCUGGUUAGGGAAAUAAAAGUUAGGAAUCGUGGAAAAGUUUAAUAUAUCUUUUUCUUAUUCUUCCCUUUCUUUUCGUCUGAAAUGGUUCGAUGCAAAAUCUAUAGCCGAUAAAAGGCGAUCGUGAAGCAAUAUCAGACAUGGAAGAAACGUUGAAUUAUUCAACCCGAAGGCGAGGAAAAUGUUUUGAUUAUGCCAGGCCACGGACGCACGCACAUGUGUAUACGUGCACGGAUUCUCUGCGCGGUGGCCACGGCCGAAAUUAGUUGGAUAUCCGAAUAAUUAACGAAAAUAGCAGAGACGAGUUUUGCGCGUUUCUAUUAUAAAAGUGAAUGCGUAGAGUUAUGUCAAGACGAAUGAACGAUAAUGUUUGUAAAUUAGAUUUUUCCAUCACUCAGUGAGAUUAAUCUCUUGUAUGAAAUUAGAUUUUUGAAAA